GAAGGGGGCUAGCGUUAUUCGGAUUCACUGGGCGUAAAGGGUGCGCAGGCGGUUGGGUGUGUCAGAUGUGAAAUCCCGAGGCUCAACCUCGGAACUGCGUCUGAAACUACUCGACUAGAGUACUGGAGAGGGUAACGGAAUUCACGGUGUAGCAGUGAAAUGCGUAGAUAUCGUGAGGAACACCAGAGGCGAAGGCGGUUACCUGGACAGUUACUGACGCUCAGGCACGAAAGCAUGGGGAGCAAAAGGGAUUAGAUACCCCUGUAGUCCAUGCCCUAAACGGUGCACACUAGGUCUUAGCGGAUUCGACCCCACUAGGGCCCAAGCUAACGCGUUAAGUGUGCCGCCUGAGGACUACGGUCGCAAGACUA
rnacentral:rRNA from 1 species